AGACAAAUCCUUCAACUAAUGACAUACCUAAUGGGGGCACUGAAAUAACUGAGAAUAGUGAAGAGAAUGUCACAGAUUCAAUGAAUCAAGUCAUGGAUGAUUCCAAUAAAGAUGCUUCAAAUGAUUUAGCAAAACCAACAGAAGAUGUAGAUGGAAAGAUUUCAAAUGAUUUAGCAAAACCAACAGAAGAUGUGGAUGGAAUGAUUUCAAAUGAUUUAGCAAAACCAACCGAAGAUGUAGAUGGAAAGAUUGAUGUAAACAUUUCAAGUGAUUUAGCAAAACCAACUGAAGAUAUGGAUGGAAAGAUUCCAAAACCAAUUGAAGAUGUAGAGGGAAAGGUUGAUGUAAAG
rnacentral:lncRNA from 1 species